UGUUUUGUGUGUGGGAUAUAAAUCCCCCCACUGAUCAGAGGAUCAGACCCUGGCAGGUCAAGCGAGUCCUAGAGAAGCCGCCCGUACCAGGAAGCCUUCUUGCACCCCGUAAUGCCUGGUUUGCGCAGUCCCUUGAGCCACUUGGGGAGACCUUUUUUUCUAUCCUUUGCUAUUAGGGAUGCCGUGACAUGAUGACUGCUGUGAGAGCGAAGAAGGAGCCUCAGCCAACUUCGCUCAUGAAUAAAUUUAUCCUACCACCACAGAGGGCAUGUUAUAGAGAUUUCAC
rnacentral:sRNA from 2 species